CAUAGGUGCAGAAGUGCCAAAAGAUACAGAUUCUACUAUCAUAAGCAAAGAGCUCCUAACUGGGCCCAGGGUAGUUCUUUUGCCUCCUUCAUCACCUCAUUUGCGCUCAGUUUCUGCAGAUUCAAUUGAAGGCCGAUCAACCCUUCAUCAAUAUUUCAAGCUUUUUCAUGAAAACUAUGUGGAAUAUGCCCACAAGGUGUACUUUGAGAUUCGACAUCAUGCACCUCAUGUAAAAAAGAUCAUUGAUGAUCAGUGUUCUCGAUUGUGCAAAGCACAGCAAAAGAUUUUGGAAGUUGAAAGGAAACAGGAAAAGAUCGAGGAUCGUGUUGAGCAUGCAGUUCGGUUUCACAGUGAGCUAGAAGAGCGCUUGCAAAGCCUGAGACACCUGCCGGCAGCACAUAAGACAUCUCUAUCUAAAGCUGAACGAGAGUUUAAGUCUGAACUUGACAGAUUUAGGGGAGUGGAGUUGGAUGCUCUACGCUCUUCUAUUGAAGCAGUAAAUGCCAGGUUGAAAAGAUACACACAUUCUCUACAGCCCAGCCAGUCAAAUGAAGAGCGACAAGUAUCAGUGAGGAGAAAAGUGCGUGUCCAAGAAAAUGAAAUGUCACUGCUGAAAGCAUCACUUGAAAAGCUGUCAGUCAUGAACAGUGAAAAUGCAAAGAAGGUUAAAGUAGUUGAAUCGGCGCUGAAAGGCCGUGAAAUAGGCACUUGAUGAUAUGUAGGAUUGUAUGAUGAUUUUUGUUUGUGAUGCACAAGUCAAAAGUUGUUGGUUAGUGUGUUGAUACCCAGCUUGAUUGCCUGUGUGACUAGUAAGUGUGUUAGGUACAAGAUGGGAUACUUUGAGGUGAUAUGAGCAUUGGAAGUAGCUUUAGG
rnacentral:misc_RNA from 1 species